CGAAGCGUGCGAUUGGAUUGCACGUCUAAGCAGUAAGGCUGAGUAUUAGGCAAAUCCGGUACUCGUUAAGGCUGAGCUGUGAUGGGGAGAAGACAUUGUGUCUUCGAGUCGUUGAUUUCACACUGCCGAGAAAAGCCUCUAGAUAGAAAAUAGGUGCCCGUACCGCAAACCGACACAGGUAGUCAAGAUGAGAAUUCUAAGGUGAGCGAGCGAACUCUCGUUAAGGAACUCGGCAAAAUGACCCCGUAACUUCGGGAGAAGGGGUGCUCUUUAGGGUUAACGCCCAGAAGAGCCGCAGUGAAUAGGCCCAAGCGACUGUUUAUCAAAAACACAGGUCUCUGCUAAACCGUAAGGUGAUGUAUAGGGGCUGACGCCUGCCCGGUGCUGGAAGGUUAAGAGGAGUGGUUAGCUUCUGCGAAGCUACGAAUCGAAGCCCCAGUAAACGGCGGCCGUAACUAUAACGGUCCUAAGGUAGCGAAAUUCCUUGUCGGGUA
rnacentral:rRNA from 1 species